rnacentral:snRNA from 1 species
GUGCUCAUGUUUACAACCUGUACUGACAGAACAGUAGAGAUUAGCAUGACCCUUGUACAACGAUGACACAAAAAAUUCAAUAAGCUUCUAUAUUCAACGAAU